GGAUGCGAUCAUACCAGCACUAAAGUACCGGAUACCAUCAGAACUCCAAAGUUAAGCGUGGUUGGGCGAGAGUAGUACUAGGAUGGGUGACCUGGGAAGUCCUCGCGUUGCAUUCC